rnacentral:tRNA from 1 species
GUCGGCCCGAGCAGCGCCGGCACGGCCGCCGCCUCCCGGAAGGCGGCGAGCUCCUCCGCGGAGAUCCCGCCCUCGGGGCCGACG